rnacentral:rRNA from 1 species
GAUGAACGCUGGCGGCGUGCCUAAUACAUGCAAGUCGAGCGAACAGACGAGGAGCUUGCUCCUCUGACGUUAGCGGCGGACGGGUGAGUAACACGUGGAUAACCUACCUAUAAGACUGGGAUAACUUCGGGAAACCGGCGCUAAUACCGGAUAAUAUAUUGAACCGAAUGGUUCACUAGUGAAAGACGGUUUUGCUGUCACUUAUAGAUGGCUCCGCGCCGCAUUAGCUAGUUGGUAAGGUAACGGCUUACCAAGGCAACGAUGCGUAGCCGACCUGAGAGGGUGAUCGACCACACGGGAACUGAGACACGGUCCAGACUCCGACGGGAGGCAGCAGUAGGGAAUCUUCCGCAAUGGGCGAAAGCCUGACGGAGCAACGCCGCGUGAGUGAUGAAGGUCUUCGGAUCGGAAAACUCUGUUAGUAGGGAAGAACAAAUGUGUAAGUAACUAUGCACGUCUUGACGGUACCUAAUCAGAAAGCCACGGCUAACUACGUG